GACGAACGCUGGCGGCGUGCCUAAUACAUGCAAGUUGAGCGCUGAAGGUUGGUACUUGUACCGACUGGAUGAGCAGCGAACGGGUGAGUAACGCGUGGGGAAUCUGCCUUUGAGCGGGGGACAACAUUUGGAAACGAAUGCUAAUACCGCAUAAAAACUUUAAACACAAGUUUUAAGUUUGAAAGAUGCAAUUGCAUCACUCAAAGAUGAUCCCGCGUUGUAUUAGCUAGUUGGUGAGGUAAAGGCUCACCAAGGCGAUGAUACAUAGCCGACCUGAGAGGGUGAUAGGCCACAUUGGGACUGAGACACGGCCCAAACUCCUACGGGAGGCAGCAGUAGGGAAUCUUCGGCAAUGGACGAAAGUCUGACCGAGCAACGCCGCGUGAGUGAAGAAGGGUUUCGGAUCGUAAAACUCUGUUGGUAGAGAAGAACGUUGGUGAGAGUGGAAAGCUCAUCAAGUGACGGUAACUACACAGAAAGGGACGGCUAACUACGUG
rnacentral:rRNA from 1 species